AGUUAGUCAUAUGUGGUUCAAAAACAAACCUGUAAUGACCAUGUUUCACCACAGGUGUCGACAAAGAUAACGAACGUUGAAAAAAAAACCUCGAAAACCUCAAGAAGGUAACUUCAAAUGUUCAUACUCUUCUCACUCUCCUCAUCCCCAUUAGCUUUACUGAAAACUGGCUUUAUUUGCUCAUGCAACAUGUCAUAAGCAGGCCCCCGUGCUAACAGUUAGCUUCUGUCACUUCAAGAUGUCAUUGAGGAGGAAAUCACUGUGAUUGCGCCGGGGCCUCCUCUAUUCCAGCCAGGUGUGCUCCUUUUAGCUGUGGACCGAUAACAAACACCUGUGUCUGCUAAUGAGACUCAGGAACGAUGAGCGAGGUUAGCAGUUAGCAGUUAGCAGUUAUCAGUUAUUCUCUGCAGAGUUUCAGGGCUCACCGCUUCACUUAACCGAGAGUGACACCGAGAACAACUGAAAAGUCCUCUUACCUAAGUGAGAUGCUGGGGUGAGGAAGUUUCCAGGAUGGUGGGGCGGAUGGCCGAAGGGACCAGCUGAUGGGUGUGUAGGACCUGAGGAGGGAGAGACAGAAGGCAUCACAGAAACAUCGAUCAACCACGGAGGUGACUAAGACUAUGAUACAAGAGAUCUGACACAAUCACCUGCAGCGGAGAAGAGCGUGGCGGGCCGAGCCAAGUCGCUGGGGUGAUGGAUGGCGCCAAAGAGCCCCGGGCCCGGAGGUCGACUCAGGAACUCAGGCUU